CUCUGUUGUUGGAGAAGAAUGGUCGGCAGAGUAACUGUUGUCGGCGUGACGGUAUCCAACCAGAAAGCCACGGCUAACUACGUGCCAGCAGCCGCGGUAAUACGUAGGUGGCAAGCGUUAUCCGGAUUUAUUGGGCGUAAAGCGAGCGCAGGCGGUUUUUUAAGUCUGAUGUGAAAGCCCUCGGCUUAACCGAGGAAGCGCAUCGGAAACUGGGAAACUUGAGUGCAGAAGAGGACAGUGGAACUCCAUGUGUAGCGGUGAAAUGCGUAGAUAUAUGGAAGAACACCAGUGGCGAAGGCGGCUGUCUGGUCUGUAACUGACGCUGAGGCUCGAAAGCAUGGGUAGCGAACAGGAUUAGAUACCCUGGUAGUCCAUGCCGUAAACGAUGAAUGCUAGGUGUUGGAGGGUUUCCGCCCUUCAGUGCCGCAGCUAACGCAUUAAGCAUUCCGCCUGGGGAGUACGACCGCAAGGUUGAAACUCAAAGGAAUUGACGGGGGCCCGCACAAGCGGUGGAGCAUGUGGUUUAAUUCGAAGCAACGCGAAGAACCUUACCAGGUCUUGACAUCUUUUGAUCCACCUGAGAGAUCAGGUUUCCCCUUCGGGGGCAAAAUGACAGGUGGUGCAU
rnacentral:rRNA from 2 species